UACGUAGGGUGCAAGCGUUGUCCGGAAUUAUUGGGCGUAAAGAGCUCGUAGGCGGUCUGUUGCGUCGGCUGUGAAAACCCGGGGCUCAACUCCGGGCCUGCAGCCGAUACGGGCAGACUAGAGUUCGGCAGGGGAGACUGGAAUUCCUGGUGUAGCGGUGAAAUGCGCAGAUAUCAGGAGGAACACCGGUGGCGAAGGCAGGUCUCUGGGCCACUACUGACGCUGAGAAGCGAAAGCAUGGGGAGCGAACAGG
rnacentral:rRNA from 1 species